UCUGAGGGUUUUAUAACUUCUCUUGGCUGUGUAUGUAAUUUUCUAAUUAGAGUUUGUUGGGUUCUUUUUCAGGAGUCCACAGUCUCUUGUUUCCUCUUCUAUCUUCCUGUAGCACUGCAAUCUUUCUGGUGUUGCAGCAGCAAGCCACCUACUCUCCUUUAAUAUCAAUGGCCUCUUGGUAUCCAAAGUAUGCCAAUUCAAGCACCCUAAGUCAAGAGAGACAGAAACCGAUCCUUUGGAUAGGCUUUCCCCAAUCCCUAAACUGAACUGCUGCAUAUACUUGCUGUGUUCUUUUCUCUGCUACCUAAGGAAUAAGUUGGAAUUGGUUGCCUUCUUCCCAUAACAGUGAGCCAUGUCAGCUUCUGCACUAUUUCAGACUCUCCAGUGUCACUGCAAGCUGCCACUCCUCUCACUUGCUUUCAGUGGCCCCUAGGCAUGCAAACUAUGCUGGUUUCAUCAGCACUCCAAGUCAGAUGAAACAAAUCAGUUCCUUGGGCAGCUUUCAAACAACUAAAACAUUGGAUGCUUAUUCUACUCUGAUGAUCAUAGUGAGCUAUGCUGACUAAGAAGGUGCAGAGAUCAUAGAAAUGUUAAAGCCUAUUCUCAAAUUCAUAUGGAAUGGCCUCUAAGAGUUAAAAUAAUAUUGAAAAAGUACAAAGUUGGAGGACUCUCACUUCCCAAUUUCAAAAGUUACUACAAAACUACAGUAAUUAAAACAGUACAGUACUAGUGUGAGGACAGAAAUACAGAUAAAUGGAAUAGAAUUGAGAGUCCAGAAAUGAAUCAUUAUAGCCAUGGUAAAUUUAUUUUUGACAUGGGUGCCAAUACCAAUCAACGGGGAAGGAAUAGUCAUUUCAAUAAAUGGCCCUGGGACAACUGAAUAACUACAUGUGAAAGAAUGAAGCUGGAUCUUGACCUCACACUAUAUACAAAAAAUUAACUCAAAAUGAUUCAAUAACCUAAAUAGGAUGGUUAAAACCAUAUAACUCUUAAAAGAAAACAUAGUAGUAAAGCAUCAUGACCUUGGAUUUGGCAAUGAUUUCUCAGAUAGGAUACAAAAAGCAUAAGCAACAAAAGAAAACUUAGAUAAACUGAACUUAAUUAAAAUUAAAAACUUUUGUACAAAGGACAUUAUCAAGAAAGUGAAAAGACAACCUAGACAAUGGAAGAAAAUAUUUGCAAAUAAUAUAUCUGAUGAGGGUCUAGUACCCAGAAUAUAUGAAGAACUUCUACAAUCAAUAGCAAAAGACAAACCAACCAAUUAGAAAUUGGGCAAAGAUAUACAAAUGGCCAAAAAGCAUAUGAAAAGAUGCUCCACAUCAUUACUCAUUAGGGAAAUGAAAAUCAAAACCACAAUGAGAUAAUACUUCCCUUCUACUUGAAUGGUUGUAAGAAAAAUUUAAGAAAGUCCUCAUUUGGGCAAAGAUGUGGAAAAAGGAUGUUUGGUACUGCUGUUGAGAAUGUAGAAUGGUUUAGCCACUGUGGAAAAUAGUUUGGCAGUUCUUUAGAAAGCUGAACAUAGAAUUACCACAUGACCAGCAAUUCUAUCUUCUAGGUAAAUACCCAACAGAACUGAAAACAGGUACUCAAACAAAUACAUGUAGAGGCAUGUUCAAAGCAGCACUAUUCACAAUAGCCAAAAGGUAAAACAUCCAAAUGUCCAUCAACUGACCAAUGCAUGAAUAAAAUGUGGUAUAAAUACAUAAUAGAAUAUUAUGCAGCCACAAGAAGAAAUUAAGUACUGAUACAUGUUACAACAUGGAGCUAAACAAAAGCAGCAAGACAAAGUCACCACGUAUUAUAUUUAUAUAGAAUUGUGUGAUUCCAUUUAUUUAAAAAAUCCCAAAUCUUUAGAGAAAGAAAACAGACUGGUAGUUGCUGGAAGCUGGUGGUAGUGGAGAGUGGAGAGUAAUUUGUUGAGCUCCUCAAAGAGAAUGCUAUGAUAUGUAGAACAUAAAGAACAAAACUGGUUAUCACCAUGACUCAAAGGGAUACAAAUUUGAGUAUCAAUGGUGAGUAUUCUUAAUGUAUUAUCCAUAAAGCUUUAAUUCUAAAUUGAGUCAUUCAUUUUUUUUUUUUUGAAGAUUUUAUUUAUUCAUUUGACAGACAGAGAUCACAAGAAGGCAGAGAGGCAGGCAGAGCGAGAGGGGAAACAGGCUCCCCGCUGAGCAGAGAGCCUGAUGCGGGGCUCUAUCCCAGGACCCUGGGAUCAUGACCUGAGCCGAAGGCAGAGGCUUUAAACCACUGAGCCACCCAGGUGCCCCUACAUUGAGUCAUUCUUAAUGGUUUCUAGAAAAUGUGUAAAUCCCAUGCUGGUCUUCCUUUGGUACCAACAUUUAGUUGAUGUUUGUUCUGAGAAUUUUGAUGAUGAUCAUGAUAAAUAUGAGAAAUAUAUAUUACCUAAUUAUAUAAACAUAACAAAGCUGAAUAAAUAGUUUUUGACUGGUAGGGAUUUCAGAUUAUUCUUGACACCAUUUCCCAAUCUUUAGAUGAAUAUUUAGCUACUUUACAGAGUAAUUUAUCUUCAGUCUAGAGAAGAGAAAGCAGGGGUUAUUACUGGGUUAUUCAGUAAACUUGUAAUGAAACAGCUCUCCUGAUUUCCAAAUACUUUUCUCUGGACACCAGUAAAUGACCCUAUCUUUCUAACUUACCAGUGGCAAUCACUGCAUUCCUAAUCUGUCCUUGAAUUUUCAUUGCCUUUUUGUUCUUGACUAUUUCUUUUAGUAAUAAGAACCACUUCAACAGGCAUAUGGAGUGAAGGAAAACUGGUACGAAAGGCAGUUUGGGGAACAGCACUCCAGAGCCAGACUGCCUGGAUUUGAAUCUUGGCUCUACCAUUAUUAGCUGUGUAACAUCGGAUAUGUAUUUCAAGAAGAAAUUCUCUACAAAAUAAAGUUUAAGAGAAAAAAAAUCUAAAACAGCUGUAACUUGCAAAGGAAAAAAUUAAAGAAGAUGGCUGUAAAACUCUUUAUUCAAUUCAUUCAACCUUGUGAAGCCAGUGGUUUGAUCAAGCUAUUCCUUCUAAAGUCAAAAGAUGUUAUCCUGUCUGUGGUUCUGCAUACACUACCUGGUACUUUAGAUAGUGCCAUGGCAUUUUUGAGAUAUUUCUGCAAUCAGAAUGAAGUUAACAAUACUAAAUAUGUGUAGAAAUAUAUUUUGUCUGGAAAAAAUUAGAAUCUUAAAAUUCACAGGAUAUUACUUUUAUUUAUAGCCGUAUUUUGAGGCACAAAUACUCUUUUCUCUUAGUUACUCAACAGUGCCCCCCUGCUUUGGAAAGUAGAUUUAAAGUAUAUUCAAAAUCUGUUAAUAUUUCAAUGAAUCUGUUUCACAAAAACAGAAACAGAUAUGAUAUGGUUUUACACAGUAAGAAUAAGAAAUUAGGCCCUUAAAAAGGCAAAAAACAUAGUUCAAAUGUCAUAUAAAAUAGUUUGUCAAAAGAACAUGAAUCUCAUUAGUGAUUAUAAAAUUAAUCUUCCAGACUACAAGAACCUUAUACAAAUACGAGUAUCACUUAAGAAAACUAUUUUCCCAAGUGACCUAAUCAAUUUUCUAAAAAGGAAUGAGUCUUCCCUUUUACAUAAAAACAGGGGAAUCAUAUUAACUCUUCAUUUAAUAGCCAAUUUGGGAUGCUGUAUCUAUAGUUAAUGGGACAAGACUGUCAUUAAUUCAUUGUACAUCUUCAGCUACCAGAGGGACCUAUACAGGCCUAUAAACCAGAAUCUUUGUCUUUAGCCAAUAUUUAAUGACAAAUUACCUGGCUCAAAGGAAUUUUUAUGGAAUUAAAGUGGUGGUAACAAUCAAGUUGGCUAUUUAGAUUUUAACCAUUUCAACAUGAUACAGUGACUACCCUCUCCCUCCAAAGUUACUCAGAAAACAGUACAGUAUAAAAACAUAGAAAAUUCCUUCUGAAACUGCUAACUUUCCCCCUUUGGUACCCUUAUCCCUUUCAGCCAAGUGCAAAGUGCAAGGCAAAAUAAAUUAAGGCAAAAGGAAAAUAAAAUAAGAAAAAUGGUGAGGGCGAGCAUGUUGUUGACCAUGUAAGAUAACACGUGCAAAUUAUACCUCAGAUACACUAUAGGUAGAUGAGCACGAGGGAAGCCGAGCCUGGUUUUGCAGUGGGGAAAAGAAAACACUGUUAAAGAGGAAAUGAUAGUAUAGUAAGGGUCUCAGAAGAUUAGAUGGCUCCAUCACCAACAUAUUUGCCAGAUAACAAGACAGCCUUAUAAGCAGACACCUGAGUUUGGAAAUCUCAAGGUUCAAGAUAUUGGAGGAGAACCUUGUGAUUAAAAAAGAAUACCUAGCUAAAAAAAAAAAAAAAAAAAAAAAAAAAAAAAAAUCCAUGACAGAGAUGACUCCCUCUGAUCAGAUCUGGUAUGAUCUUGCUGAGGAGAUGCUCAUUAAGGUUAAUCAGAAAGUAGAACACUUAUCAUUUUUCUCCUGUAGUAUUACACUGAUCUUCAUUGGUUUAGGAACACUAGAAAACUACAUGUGAGGUUAUUUAUAAGAUGAGAACUCUACUGUACAUCUUCAUCUUGCUUUUUAAAGAGGGCACCAAAGCCAGCUCAGUGUUCUGAUUCUGAUGUCCUGUUCCUAUUACUCCAUUCACAGUACUACUGAAUCUUCAUAUGUGUGUGUGUGUGUAUACACAUACAUAUACAUACUCAUAUAUGCACAUGUAUGUAUAUAUGAUACAUUAAUGUAUAUAACAAUAAAAACACCAUAAGAGGCAAAAAUUGAAACACAAAACUCUUGUCCAAGUCUAUCUUCUAUCAGAAUGCUUUACUGAUUUUUUUUAAAACAGCUGUUUUAUACUAAAAAAAUGUUUAAUCUUCAUGCUUUGAAUUGAUAAUUUUCUCUCCUAUUAUUACUUUAUAGAUUGUCACACUGCCAUGUUCAAUUCUCUGGCCUCUUCUUUCAUUAGGUUGUUAAUAAUACCAGGUGAGUUAAAUUUUUAAGUAUGCAUUCUCUACUUACAAAUUCUUUAUGAAGUUACAAAAUGCAAAGGUAGGGUGGGGGAAAUGAAGAUAUAAAAGAUGGCACAGUGGAGGAAUCAGAAAUGCCCUUAUUAUCUUAUUUGUUCAAUUGUAUUUCUACCAUGAGCACAGCAAACUGUUGUAGGUGCUCAGUAAGUGUUUAAUGAAUAAAUGAAUAUACAAACUCUUUUUCUUCUAUAUUUAAAACAUUGAACUGUGUGAAAUAAUGUUGAGAAGGUUUUAUAUUUACUAUCACAAAGAUCUGUGAUAAAAUGUUACCACUGCUACUUAAAAGGUUACUUUGAGGUAUUUCCUAAAAUAUGGUAAAUUCUAUACAUACAAGAAAUUAAAAUUUUUUCCCAACUAUAUACACAUCUAAUUUUCUUCAGCAAGGUGUUAAUUCUAAGAAAACUUGGCUAUGCACGUUUGUUCUGUCUCUGUAUAUCCAUAAAACUGAAAAACUUUAUCUUUCAAAACAGUUUGAGUCUUAUCUUUUUUCCUCAUCACUUCUCCAUUUCCUGUUAUUAGGGAAAUUUACUUGCCAAGAUCUUUUAUUAGUACCUUAUUUUGUAUUAAAGUCAAUUCUGACAAUGGCAAUUCUUCAAUAAGCAUUAAACAUCUCACAGUGUGUGUCAUUCCCACUUCUGUGAUGUCUUAGCUACUAAAGGAGAUUUUAUAAGUAUUAGAUGAGAUUUUUUUUUCUGUUCUAAAAACAGAUAAGAUUUUUGUUAUUCGGUAGAAGUGAAAUCUCAGAAUUGUAUUAACAUGCAAGUUAAGCAAAUUCUAACAAAGUGAAAGGUAGCAAAAUUAGCCUGUUUUCCAAACAGAUAAUACUAAAGUUGAUUUACUGUCAUCUUCAUCAUUACUGUAGUCUGGUCAUAUUUAUGAUACAUCAUCUACCAAGACACUCAGGAUGAUACAUAAUUAUUGUAAAUUGAAGAGUAAACAAAUGCAUAUUAUUAAUAUGGGCAAGUGCCAAAACAUCACACAAGGAAGACUUAAUAGGAAGCUCAAAUAAUCUACAAAAGACUCUAAAAAUUGCCUGAGAAAGUAGAGUAUAUAGACAAACUGAUGUUUACUCAUUUAAAAACUACUGAAUGCUUAUUUGCUGUUCUUCCUUACUUUAGUCAGGGUUGACUGAUUCAAUGCAGAUGCCUUCUAGAUAUUCAAGUGCUGUUAAGAUAAGACAUAUUGGUUGAUCCUGUCAGGGUGUCUUUGCCAGUUGUACAAAAUUUCCUGUAGAUGGAAUGAUUUCUUGGUGCAGUUACGUAUGAAAAAUCAAAAGGUGGUCUUAUCUUUAAUAAGAUAUAUUGAAGCAAUAAACAGAAAAAUGUGGUGUGCAGUAAAUAUACUCUUAAAAUACAUUUUUUAAAAGUUUGAGAGAACAAGAUUGGAAUUUAUCUUUUUACCCUAAAUCUCUGUAGGGGUGCUCCUCAACAAAGAGUAAUUUAUAAUCCAUAGUUUAUCUAUAUGACAGUUCUAUAUUUGAGGGGUUUAAUGUUAAUCCCAGGGUGGGUUUACUUUGUGUGUGUGUGUGUGUGUAUGAUAAAACAAUGGCAAACAGAUGACUAAAAAUGUAAAGAUAGAAGAUUUCAGGGUAUUAACUCUUUUAGACAUAAGCUUCCAGGUAGAAUAAUCUGAAACCAUCCCCCUAAAAUCAGCAGCUUUCUUUUCCUCAAGCUCUAAAAUGAAGAUAAUUUUACAGAGUCUCUAUUGUAAUCACUUCUCUGUUACUGUCAUUUUGACACACUAGCUUGUUACAGCAGGUCUCAGCAAACUUUUCUGUAAAUAGUCAGAUAGUAAACAUUUCUGGCUUUGCGUGCCAUAUGGUCUUUACUGUAACUGCUCAUCUUUACUUUUGUAGCACAAAAGCAACCAUAGAUUAUAUGCAAAUGAAUGAAUGUGGCUGUGUUUCAAUAAAACUUUAUUUUUGGACACUGAAA